rnacentral:rRNA from 1 species
GACGAACGCUGGCGGCGUGCCUAAUACAUGCAAGUUGAGCGCUGAAGGUUGGUCCUUGUACCAACUGGAUGAGCAGCGAACGGGUGAGUAACGCGUGGGGAAUCUGCCUUUGAGCGGGGGACAACAUUUGGAAACGAAUGCUAAUACCGCAUAAAAACUUUAAACACAAGUUUUAAGUUUGAAAGAUGCAAUUGCAUCACUCAAAGAUGAUCCCGCGUUGUAUUAGCUAGUUGGUGAGGUAAAGGCUCACCAAGGCGAUGAUACAUAGCCGACCUGAGAGGGUGAUCGGCCAACUUGGGACUGAGACACGGCCCAAACUCCUACGGGAGGCAGCAGUAGGGAAUUUUCGGCAAUGGACGAAAGUCUGACCGAGCAACGCCGCGUGAGUGAAGAAGGUUUUCGGAUCGUAAAACUCUGUUGGUAGAGAAGAACGUUGGUGAGAGUGGAAAGCUCAUCAAGUGACGGUAACUACCCAGAAAGGGACGGCUAACUACGUG